UCCUUUUCCUUCAUUUUUUCGCCGUUUCCUCCCCGAAACCGCUCGCGCCUCUCCUCGCCCUAACCUCCUCUGCGCCGGUACCAGCCGCCUCCUCCUCUUCUCCGAGGUGAAGCCUUUUUCCCUCUGCCCCUUUCCAGCGCCGCCGACCCGAGUAGCACCGCCGCAAACCGAGCCCUAGCCUCUCCGAUCUCCUCUUUGCGCCAGCCGUGCCCUAGAUCCAUCACCGGCCUUCUCCACGCUGAGCUCUGCACAGAGCCACCGCUAACCUAGCACCGCCGCCUUCUUUUGCCGACUCUGCCGAUCCCUUGCCGCUGCCCUCUCUGGACCGAAGCAGCGUCGGCCACCGAGACUCCCUCUCUUCUCCUCUGGUCCGACGAGCCACCGUCGGACACCUUUGCUCUCGGCCCCAUCGCGGUGAUCAGUAGCCACUGGACGUCGACGCGCAGAGAUUACACCGUGCCCUAGUCCUCCAUCUUGCUGGCACCCGAGUACCACUGCCGGUGUUCUCCCGUGCCUGAGCUUCAUCUCCUCUUCAGAGUAAGGUUGUUCGGAUGAGGUAACGACAAGUGAUUCCAGCAGUGAUUCGGCAGUGUAAUUUAAGGUUUCCAGCAGCAAUCAACCCUUGUUGGCAGUAACAAACCUUCAGUGGAUCAGUGAUUCCUGCUGUGAAUUUAGGUUUAUCGGUUUGGGAGAUUUGCAAUUUAAUCUUGCUCCGACUGUUGAUUUACAGUAGCAACGUUUCCAACCAGAUUUGGACAAGUUGUAGAGGACCUUGACGCGAGACGAGUAUCUCGGAGUCAGAUUGGACCUUUCUAUUUUCGGAGG